rnacentral:rRNA from 1 species
GUAGCAUAAUCAUUUGUCUUUUAAUUGAAGACUAGAACAAAAGAUUGAACAAUUUAAUUAAUAUAUUAAAAUUAAUAAUUUUAAAUUAUUCUAAAUGUAAAAAAACUUUUAUAUAAAAGGAAGACGACAAGACCCUAUUAAACUUAACUUAAGUUCAACUGGGGCAGUUAAUCAAUUAUUAUUUUAAUAAAAAUAAAAACCUAAAAGAUCCAACAAAAUUGAUUAAAUGAUCAAGUUACUAUAGGGAUAACAGCGUAAUAUUAAUCUAAAGAUCUUAUUUAAAUAAAAGUUUGCGACCUCGAUGUUGAAUUAAUAACCUAAAUUAUUGCAAUAAAUAAAUAAAGGAAGUCC